rnacentral:rRNA from 1 species
UUGAAAGGGAAACGAUUGAAGUCAGUNGUCCCUUUGGGUAAUCAGCCCUUUGGAGUGCGAUUUUGUGGGGUUUGAGGAGCUUUAANACCUUCAUGUUUGCAUAUUCGUGCUCUUGGGUGUACUUGCCCGUGUGGUUGGUUAACAUCAAUUUCGGGCACCAUAAAAUGGCUGGAGGAAUGUAGCUUCGAUCUUGUAUUGAAGUGUUAUAGCCUUCGGUAGAUGUGGUGAUCGAGAUUGAGGAUUGCAACGGAUACCUUUCGGGGCUACCUGUCUGAUCUCUGAUCGUUGUUUUGGUGCUGAAAGCGUGCUUAUAGUUAUAAAGUCGAUGGUCAAUAGGUUAGAAUGGGUUAAAUUCGUUAAGGAUGUUGACGUA